UAGGGAAUAUUGCACAAUGGAGGGAACUCUGAACCAGCCAUGCCGCGUGAAGGAAUAAGGCCCUAUGGGUCGUAAACUUCUUUUGGCGGGGAGCAAUAAGGUCUACGUGUAGACCGAUGAGAGUACUCGUUGAAUAAGCAUCGGCUAACUCCGUGCCAGCAGCCGCGGUAAUACGGAGGAUGCGAGCGUUAUCCGGAUUUAUUGGGUUUAAAGGGUGCGUAGGCUGUUUGUCAAGUCAGAGGUGAAAGGCCGCAGCUCAACUGUGGAAUUGCCUUUGAUACUGGCAGGCUUGAAUACUGUUGCCGUGGGAGGAAUGAGUAGUGUAGCGGUGAAAUGCAUAGAUAUUACUCAGAACACCGAUUGCGAAGGCAUCUCAC
rnacentral:rRNA from 1 species